rnacentral:rRNA from 1 species
CCUAUGGGUGGCUGCAGUUGGGAAUCUUGCACAAUGGGGGAAACCCUGAUGCAGCGACGCCGCGUGGAGGAUGAAGGAUUUAGGUCUGUAAACUCCUUUUUCAGGGAAAGACUUAGGACGGUACCCUGAGAAUAAGCACCGGCUAACUACGUGCCAGCAGCCGCGGUAAGACGUAGGGUGCAAGCGUUGUCCGGAUUUACUGGGCGUAAAGAGCGCGUAGGCGGUCUGUUAAGUGUGAAGUGAAAUCUCCAGGGCUCAACCCGGGAACUGCUUCGCAUACUGGCAGACUAGAGGGAUGCAGAGGUAAGUGGAAUUCCUGGUGUAGCGGUGACAUGCAUUGAUAUCAGGAGGAACACCCAUGGCGAAGGCAGCUUACUGGGCAUCAUCUGACGCUGAGGCGCGAAAGCGUGGGGAGCAAACAGGAUUAGAUACCCCAGUAGUC